ACAUGUGUUUCUCGGGCGUCGUUUUUGCCAAUGACAUACCGAUCACCGACACCGUGCGUUCUUUAAGGCGCCGUUUUCACCAGUGAUAACCUUGAUCACCGAACCACGUGUCCUUUCAAGGGCGCCGUUUUCGCCAAGGUGACAUCGGCUAUAGACAACAUCAUGCGUUCUUUAAGGCGCCGUUUUCACCAGUGAUAUUCCCAUAACCACCGAACCACGUUUGUCUAUAAGUCAUUUACGUGCGUUCUUUAAGGCGCCGUUUUCGCCAGUGAUACUUCCAAUCACCGAACCACGUAUAUCCAAUAACAUCGUACCUGAUUGGUCUCAGCCAAUAACAUUCUCAGUUAGCUCUCACCAUUCUCCCUACUAUAUAGCCCAUCAACGUACUGGCGCUAUAUACCCAUACUCAGCCAUCCAUCAAUCAAAUAUUCAAUAACAAACAAAUUAGGACAAUUCCUAAAAUUCCACAAUAAAUUCAAUUCCACACAACGUAGAGCUCAAAUAAAUAAACGGUCUGCACCACGACAAUCAGCACGAAAUUUCGGUCAUCGGCCAUCAAAAUCUUAAUUUCCGAAAAAUAAAUAAAUAAUUAUUAAUUUCGAAAAUUAAAUAAUUAUUAUUAAAAAUUCAAUUUAGCUCAAAAUAAAGCCCGAUUACAUAAACGGACUUCACCACGGUCAUCAGCAUAAUUUUCCGGUUCCAAGCCAUCUCAGUUGAAUUUCCGGAAAAUAAAUAAAUAAAUAAAUAAUUUCGAAUAUUAAAUAAUUAAUAUUAAAAAUCCCNNNNNNNNNNNNNNNNNNNNNNNNNNNNNNNNNNNNNNNNNNNNNNNNNNNNNNNNNNNNNNNNNNNNNNNNNNNNNNNNNNNNNNNNNNNNNNNNNNNNUAUCCCGGUUCCAGACCAUCUCACGUUGAAUUUUCGGAAAAUAAAUAAUUAUUUAAUUUAAUUCCGAAAAUUAAUAUUUAAAUACAAAAAAAAUCCACUUAGGCCCGAAAAGCCUAAUUGGAGCCCACUAAGGGUCGGGAAAAUCCUGAGGCACUUCCAAUAAUUAGUAGACCACGUCUACUUGCUGAUUACACAAUCAAUUUAUCUAAAUCGCAUCACAAUUGACUAAUAAUUGCUAAUUUACUCUAAUCUAACAACCUAAACAUAAUUAAUUAAAUCUAAACCAACCUUAAGCAUAAUUAGCCAACUAAUCCAGGAUUAGUGAGAUUACUCACCAAAUCGCGCACAAAUCGGAUCAAUCCGACGGCGGCGACGCGAGGAACGAUUGUUCCCAAAGCACGGCUCGGGUUCGGGGCCGGGAAACGGUCCAAAAGCGGGCCCGAAGUGCUGGAAACCCACUUCGUGGGUCUGCUGGUUUAGCUGCAAAACAGAGAGAAAGAGAGAGGGUUGGGGGCGGCAAGAGGUCGGGAGAGUAGGCGGGGCUCCGGUGAGGCCGGACGGCGGCUCCGGCGGCCUGCUCAGCCGCUCACGGUGGCUGAACAGAGACCGAACGGGAGCUGGGUCGCACGGCAGGGACGGCAAGCGCAGGCGACGCACGGGUGGCGAACGGCGGACGUGCGGCGUGCGCGGGCGUGCGGUGCGGCGGCGGGACAGGCGGCGAUGGUGGCUGGCUUCUGCUUCCGAUCUCCUGCAGCUUCUGGUUCGGUUUGCUCAGAGAAGAACGAAGAAGAAGAAGAAGGUAACGUGAGGGAGGAGGCAAGAAGAGAGAGAAGAGAUAAGGGAGAGAAGUUUUGACUAGUCAAAGAGGAGAGAGAAGAGAAAGCAAAAAUUGAAUUUGGCAAGGGUGUGCUCGGUGGGUGGGGAGGCUACGCACGAAGGAGAGAGGAGAAGAGAGAGAGAGGAAGAAAAAGAGAGAAAAGGGAGAGAGAGAAAAAGAAUUUAAAAUAAUAACAUUAUUCUUAUUUUUCUUUUUCUCUUUCCCUUUCCCUUUCUAUUUUCUUUUGAUCUUCGAUUUUUCCUCCGAUAAUUUCUUUCUUGAAAUUUCGGACUCGGCAAUAAAUUGAUAGACGAUGAGACGGUCCUAAAAAUGAAUUGUGACAUGCUCGAAUAUUCGAUUCCUGAAACCAAUUUCAAUUUCAUGGUUAGAAUCAAUCAAACGCGAUUUUAGUCCAAUCCAACCAAUUGAGUAGCUUUUAGGGAUUUUACCGCGGAUACAUCCCUUAACGGCUUCACCCAAUAGGUUAGUUAACUCGUGAGUGAUCAGCUCAGAGAAAAAGGACCAUAAGCACGUUGACGACAUGCCCAUUUCACUUUAUCAAAACGGGGUCGAAUUUCAGGAUGUCACAACUCUUCCCCUCUUAUAAAAAUUUCGUCCUCGAAAUUUAAACCAUUAUACACUUUGCUAAAAAAGGCGGGGGUAUAAUUGUCUCAUCGACUCUUCAAUCUCCCAAGUCGCUCCUUCAGCACCGUGGUGUUGUUAGACCACUUUGACUAACGGAAUGGUCUUUGUACGCAGAACUUGCUCUUUGCGAUCGACAAUCUGAGCCGGGCUUUCGACGUAUGACACACGGUCAUCCACGUCCAAUUCCUCGAAAUUGAGCACGUGGGUCGGGUCAGGCUCGUACUACCUUAACAUCGACACGUGAAAGACGUCAUGCACUUGCGCCAAACAUGGCGGCAACACAAGACGAUACCUAGGUUUCCGAUUCUUUCAAGAAUCUCAAACGGACCUACGUACCUCGGACUCAACUUGCCUUUCUUACCAAAGCACGAAGUUCCCCUCAUUGGUGACACUUUCAGAAACAUGUGAUCACCAACUUGGAAUUCCAAAGACCUUCGAUGAUUAUCUGCAUAACUUUUCUGCCUGCUUUGCGCUGUCUUUAAUCUGUCUCUGAUCACUGCCACGGUAUCAACUGAUCGCUGAACCAACUCUGGGCCCGAUAUCUUCCUUUCUUCGACUUCAUCCCAACAUAUUGGAGUUCUGCACGCUCUGCCAUACAACGCUUCAAAUGGAGCCAUCUUGAUACUCUGCCGAUAACUGUUGUUGUAGGCGAAUUCCACCAGAUGAAGCUGAUCUUCCCAACUUCUUUUGAAGUCUAUUACACACGCUCUCAGCAUGUCUUCAAGAGUCUGAAUUGCCCUUUCAGACUGGCCAUCCAUCUGAGGAUGAUACGCCGUACUGUACUGAAGCUUUGUACCUAAAGCACUUUGCAAGCUCUUCCAAAAAGCAGCAGUAAACCUCGGGUCUCUAUCAGAUGUUAUCGUAACCGGCACUCCAUGCAUACGAACCACCUGACGCACAUACAGGUCUGCGUGUCUAUCCAGACUCAAGUCCUUUCGAACUGCAAUGAAGUGAGCCGACUUUGUCAGCCUGUCGACUACUACCCAAAUUGAAUCAUUCCCCUCUACUCCUUGGUAGCCCAGUUACGAAGUCCAUCGUGAUAUGCUCCCAUUUCCACUAUGGGAUCGCGAGAGAUUGUAGGAAUCCUCUCGGCUUGCAAUGCUGAGCUUUUACUUGCUGACAAGUCAAACAUUUAGCUACAUGCUUGGCAAUGCUCGCCUUCAUACCUAACCACCAGUAAUGUUGAUGUAGAUUCCGAUACAUUUUAAUACUUCUAGGAUGAACGCUAUAAUUGCUACGAUGUGCUUCAGAUAAAAUUUCUUCUCUAAGCUCUACAUCGUCAAGUACAACCAAACGUCCACGAAGCCUCAGUACCCUAUCAUCAGAAACUUGAAAAUCAGCUUUUCUUUUGUCAGUAUCCUCUUGAAGAAUUCUCUGUACGUCUGGAUCGAUCGGUUGGGGUUGCUUGAUUCUGACCUGGACAUCCGGUUCAAUUCUGAGGGUGGCCAUAAGACUCGAGAGGUGGCCUACCUCGAAUUUGAAUUCCGAAUCCCGAGCUCUCUCGAUCAGGUUCCACUCCUUAACCAAGAUCCGUGCCACUAAAGACUUCCGACUCAAUGCAUCGGUGACCUUGUUCGCCUUUCCCGGGUGAUAUAGAAUGUCACAGUCGUAAUCUUUCAGCAAUUCCAUCCAUCACCGUUGUCUCAUGUUCAACUCCUUCUGAGAGAACAAAUACUUGAGACUCUGAUGGUCCGUGAAGAUCUUAAACUUUUCUCCGCACAAGUAGUGCCUCCAAAUCUUCAACGCAAAUAUGAUGGCUGCGAGUUCUAAGUCAUGCGUCGGGUAAUUCAAUUCAUAAGGUCUCAACUGCCGGGAAGCGUAUGCAACAACUCUGCCAUGUUGCAUCAGCGCGCAACCUAAUCCCCUGAAUGACGCAUCAUUAUAGAUCUCGAAUCCUCCAGGACCAGAUGGAAUUGUCAGCACAGGUGCGGUAGUCAGCUUUUCCUUCAGCUCUUGGAAACUACGCUCGCACUUGUCUGACCAUACAAAUUUCUCUUUUUUCUUCAGGAGCUUUGUCAGAGGCGACGCUAUCGAUGAGAGCCCUUCCACAAACUGUCUGAAAUAACCUGCUAACCCCAGGAAACUUCUGAUUUCUGUCACUGAUGUCGGUCUUGGUCCACUGAUAACUGAUUCGAUCUUGACCAGAUUCAUGGAGAGCAUUACUCUCAGAUGAUUCUCAUAUUCUUCAUUACUUCUCGAAUAGACCAAGAUGUCAUCAAUGAACACUACUACAAACUGAUCCAUAUAUUCCUUGAACACUCUGUACAUCAUAUCCAUGACGGCAACUGGAGUGUUCACCAAGCCAAACAAUCUUACAAUACUCUCAUAAAGACCAUAUCAAGUACGAACAGCUGUCUUUUGUACAACCUCAUUCCUGGUUCAUAACUGACGACUUCAUAAUCUCAAGUCGACCUUUAAAACAUCGAUACUCAUUAUAACUAGUCACACCAUUCGUUGAUCUUUGGCAAAGAACACUUGUCCUUGAUCUUCACUUAAUUGAGUGGACUAUGGUCGAUGCACACUCGCAACAACCAUCUUUCUUCUUCUCACAAACAAAACUGAUGUUUCCCAAAAGUGAUGCACCGAUAUACAAGAAUUCCUCAUUCAUCAAUCUUCACAUCUGCAUCUUCAAUUCUACCACUUCAAACAACAACAGCUGGUAAGAAGCCUUCGAGAGUGGCUCUAUCCUGGUGCUAUCUCCAUUGCAAUUUCAAUCUCUUUCUGGCGGUAACCCAAGCAAUUCCUUUGGAACCAUCUUAGAAAUUUUUUUUUUUUUUUUAUCACGGCCACCUUCUUCUCAUUCUAUUUCUCAACUGACACAUCCACUACAAUUGUCAAAUCAAUCUUGGCAACCUCCGUCUAACAAACGGAUUGUCUUUAGCCAACGAGAUUAAUGAAAUCAAAAUUCUUUUCGACUCCCAAUAACCUCGACACUUUAACAUGCUAAUGGAUUAAAUUGGAUUAUUCCAUGACCAAGAUUCAUUAUCACAAGAUGCUCCAUAAGCCCACACUAUUCAUGUGACGUCAAACUCACACCUCAGCAACUAGUCAAGCACAACUAUUGCUAGUGAUUCCCUUCUCUUUCACUUUUACUUCAACAAUUUAAGUUCUACCAACUCAGCACAAAACUCUGCUACGAUGUUCUGAUAAGAUCACCUCCAACACAUUCUUUCUCUAAUCGGUGCAAGAUCAAUUAUACUCUCAUUCCUUUCGCCAUCCUAGCGGCGUUCUGCCGCAGUAGCUAUGCCUAUGCUACCUUUGACUUCCACUGACAGUCCUUCACUUGAUGGCCAUGCUGGUCAUCAUCACAACAGGUCCUCGUCAUACUCGGACACUGGAUUUAUCCAUACUUCCUUCUAAAAUUCUGACAUCUAUCCGGUGCAUCUUCUAUCUUCUACUAGGCGAAAGCAUGCACUCUUUCUGGUUGCCCCAUCAUUCUGCUAGGACCACUCCUGACCAGAUAUCCCCUUUAGCUAUACUCCAAACAAAUUCGCGUCCUUGGAAGGACAUAAUGCCGAUCUCCAUCAUCACGUCCGAAAACAACCUGAUCUAUUGGACUCGGUGCUGACUUGACUAUCCCACCCUUCCUCGUGAGUGGAAUAGAAUGCUUUUCUCUCGACCUCGGUCUUUUUCCUGACCGAUUUCCAUUUCUGCCUGAACUGGAUCUAUACCUCAACUCGAAUGCAAUGACUUGCUCCCGGAUCACAUCUCCACUCUGAAUCUCAGCACGUGAGGUGACAACUGUGAUUGCGGCACUGACGGCGGCUCAAUCUUAAGCCUGCUGGCUCUUCCAGUUCCCAAUGAACACUAGCAUCAGAACGAUCCUAUCGAACUUAGGAUCAUUUGACGCUGCUACACUAGUACCAACUUGUAGUGGUACUCUUACACUCGAGCUGGCCAGAGCCAACACUCUGCCACAACCUCCUCGGGUACUGACCUUUGUCAGUGCAUCAUCCCGAGUCACAGAGGACAUUGUCCUCUCACUAGGAGUUCUCAACUCCUGCUCGCUCAUGGUUCAGUCUUACACUGCAACCCGUCCUUCACACCCACACUGGAUUAGAAGGUGAGCGAUCCACACACAACAAACAAUUCUAGCAUCCAGCUAACACAGACAUGCACCAGCAUGAAUUUAAAGGCCUUUCCUACUAACUAUCCCAUGGUCAACGCUCCUUAUCACUCCAAUCUUCAACUUCGCUCUGAUACCACUUAAACUGGAUGUCACGCCCCGAUCCUCGGGCACGCGCACAUCCUUCACUCUUGGUCGAUUUUAUAAUGCGAUAUCCCAGGACAAUGUAUCGCCGACCCUUUCAUUUAUUAAGCACAUGCGGAAGUAGUUAAAAUCCCCAUACAAUAAAACAAUGGGAUAGAAAAGCAUGACCAUAUUUUUCAUAUUGAAAUUUAUAACCAAACUUUUAUACAAAACACAAAUCACUUCAUAACUAUUCACAUCAAAAUGAAUUCUCAAAAGAAGAUAGACUCUUAGCCCAUCCAGGCCAUACUCAAGGCCCCUCUCGGGAUUAUCUUCUUCUUCCAAAAUCCUUCUACUCAGGUUUCACCUCCGAGUUCUCCUUCUCAAAUUCCUCCUCAGCUCCUCAACGGGGUCCUGAAAUGUUUUUCCCCAAACUGGGAUGAGACUACGUCUCAGCGAGUUCUACCCCACUAAGCCCGAUUAGUAAACCACUAUACUAUAGGCUGUCUAUACACGCACAGGGCAGAAGACGUACCUUGGCAUCAGAUCCCACCUACAAGUCAGUACAAUUCAUAAUAGGCACCCAAGCAAUCAUAUCACCGAUCGAAGCAUCGAUCAAAUCGACUUAGUCGAUUACAAGCCAAUAAGACCACUCACGGUCAUUCCCAUUCAAUCAAUCAAUUCACAACAUCAGAUCAAAACAAUGAUCAAUCGACCUAGUUGAUUACAUGCCAACAAGACCACUCACGGUCAUUCCCAUUCAAUCAAUCAAUUCACAACAUCAGAUCAAAACAAUGAUCAAUCGACCUAGUCGAUUACAUGCCAACAAGACCACUCACGGUCAUUCCCAUUCAAUCAAUCAAUUCACAACAUCAGAUCAAAACAAUGAUCAAUCGACCUAGUCGAUUACAUGUCAUUCGAAUGACAUACCGAUCACCGACACCGUGCGUUCUUUAAGGCGCCGUUUUCACCAGUGAUAACCUUGAUCACCGAACCACGUGUCCUUUCAAGGGCGCCGUUUUCGCCAAGGUGACAUCGGCUAUAGACAACAUCAUGCGUUCUUUAAGGCGCCGUUUUCACCAGUGAUAUUCCCAUAACCACCGAACCCCGUUUGUCUAUAAGUCAUUUACGUGCGUUCUUUAAGGCGCCGUUUUCGCCAGUGAUACUUCCAAUCACCGAACCACGUAUAUCCAAUAACAUCGUACCUGAUUGGUCUCAGCCAAUAACAUUCUCAGUUAGCUCUCACCAUUCUCCCUACUAUAUAGCCCAUCAACGUACUGGCGCUAUAUACCCAUACUCAGCCAUCCAUCAAUCAAAUAUUCAAUAACAAACAAUUUAGGACAAUUCCUAAAAUUCCACAAUAAAUUCAAUUCCACACAACGUAGAGCUCAAAUAAAUAAACGGUCUGCACCACGACAAUCAGCACGAAAUUUCGGUCAUCGGCCAUCAAAAUCUUAAUUUCCGAAAAAUAAAUAAAUAAUUAUUAAUUUCGAAAAUUAAAUAAUUAUUAUUAAAAAUUCAAUUUAGCUCAAAAUAAAGCCCGAUUACAUAAACGGACUUCACCACGGUCAUCAGCAUAAUUUUCCGGUUC
rnacentral:lncRNA from 1 species